rnacentral:rRNA from 1 species
ACGGAAGGCAGCAGUAGGGAAUCUUCCACAAUGGACGAAAGUCUGAUGGAGCAACGCCGCGUGAGUGAUGAAGGUUUUCGGAUCGUAAAACUCUGUUGUAAGGGAAGAACAAGUGCGUUAGGUAAUGAACGCGCCUUGACGGUACCUUACCAGAAAGCCACGGCUAACUACGUGCCAGCAGCCGCGGUAAUACGUAGGUGGCAAGCGUUGUCCGGAUUUAUUGGGCGUAAAGCGCGCGCAGGUGGUUUCUUAAGUCUGAUGUGAAAGCCCCCGGCUCAACCGGGGAGGGUCAUUGGAAACUGGGAGACUUGAGUGCAGAAGAGGAUAGUGGAAUUCCAAGUGUAGCGGUGAAAUGCGUAGAGAUUUGGAAGAACACCAGUGGCGAAGGCGACUUUCUGGUCUGUAACUGACACUGAGGCGCGAAAGCGUGGGGAGCAAACAGGAUUAGAUACCCUGGUA